rnacentral:rRNA from 1 species
CGGCACGGGUGAGUAACGCGUAUGCAACUUGCCUAUCAGAGGGGGAUAACCCGGCGAAAGUCGGACUAAUACCGCAUGAAGCAGGGGCCCCGCAUGGGGAUAUUUGCUAAAGAUUCAUCGCUGAUAGAUAGGCAUGCGUUCCAUUAGGCAGUUGGCGGGGUAACGGCCCACCAAACCGACGAUGGAUAGGGGUUCUGAGAGGAAGGUCCCCCACAUUGGUACUGAGACACGGACCAAACUCCUACGGGAGGCAGCAG